rnacentral:rRNA from 1 species
AGAGUUGAUCCUGGCUCAGGAUGAACGCUAGCUACAGGCUAACACAUGCAAGUCGAGGGGCAGCAUGACCUAGCAAUAGGUGAUGGCGACCGGCGCACGGGUGAGUAACACGUAUCCAACCUACCGGUUAUUCCGGGAUAGCCUUUCGAAAGAAAGAUUAAUACCGGAUAGUAUAACGAGAAGGCAUCUUUUUGUAUUAAAGAAUUUCGAUAACCGAUGGGGAUGCGUUCCAUUAGUUUGUUGGCGGGGUAGCGGCCCACCAAGACAUCGAUGGAUAGGGGUUCUGAGAGGAAGGUCCCCCACAUUGGAACUGAGACACGGUCCAAACUCCUACGGGAGGCAGCAGUGAGGAAUAUUGGUCAAUGGACGAGAGUCUGAACCAGCCAAGUAGCGUGAAAAGGAUGACUGCCCUAUGGGUUGUAAACUUCUUUUAUAUGGGAAUAAAGUGAGCCACGUGUGGCUUUUUGUAUGUACCAUACGAAUAAGGAUCGGCUAACUCCGUGCCAGCCGCAGC